GACGAACGCUGGCGGCGCGCUUAACACAUGCAAGUCGAACGGAAAGGCCUGCCUUCCCUUGUGGAUUGCGGGUACUCGAGUGGCGAACGGGUGAGUAACACGUGAGUGAUCUGCCCCCAACUUGGGUAUAAGCCUGGGAAACUGGGUCUAAUUCCCGAUAGGACUGCAGGGUGGUGCCUGUGGUGGAAAACGAUUUUCUAGUGGUUGGGGAUGAGCUCGCGGCCUAUCAGCUUGUUGGUGGGGUAAUGGCCUACCAAGGCGGCGACGGGUAGCCGGCCUGAGAGGGUGGACGGCCACAUUGGGACUGGGAUACGGCCCAGACUCCUACGGGAGGCAGCAGUGGGGAAUAUUGCACAAUGGGCGGAAGCCUGAUGCAGCGACGCCGCGUGGGGGAUGACGGCCUUCGGGUUGUAAACUCCUUUCGACCGCGAGGAAGCCACCUGGUUGGAAGGGUGGUGACGGUAGUGGUAGAAGAAGCACCGGCUAACUACGUG
rnacentral:rRNA from 1 species